rnacentral:rRNA from 1 species
CCUACGGGGGGCAGCAGUCGGGAAUAUUGCGCAAUGGAGGAAACUCUGACGCAGUGACGCCGCGUAUAGGAAGAAGGUUUUCGGAUUGUAAACUAUUGUCGUGAGGGAAGAAAUUGACAGUACCUCAGGAGGAAGCUCCGGCUAACUAUGUGCCAGCAGCCGCGGUAAUACAUAGGGAGCAAGCGUUAUCCGGAUUUACUGGGUGUAAAGGGAGCGUAGACGGCCAGACAAGUCAGAAGUGAAAGCCCAGGGCUCAACCCUGGGACUGCUUUUGAAACUGCCGGGCUGGAGUGCAGGAGAGGUAA